rnacentral:rRNA from 1 species
UACAGAGGGUGCGAGCGUUGUCCGGAAUCACUGGGCGUAAAGGGCGCGUAGGCGGCUUCUCAAUCGUGCGGUGAAAGCUCGGGGCUUAACUCCGAGUCUGCCGUGCGAACUGGGAGGCUUGAGUCUGGUAGAGGUCGAUGGAAUUCCGGGUGUAGCGGUGGAAUGCGUAGAGAUCCGGAAGAACACCGGUGGCGAAGGCGGUCGACUGGGCCAGAACUGACGCUGAGGCGCGACAGCGUGGGGAGCAAACAGG